rnacentral:rRNA from 1 species
AUACGGAGGGUGCAAGCGUUGUUCGGAAUUACUGGGCGUAAAGCGUGUGUAGGCGGCUUGGUAAGUCAGAUGUGAAAGCCCUUGGCUCAACCAAGGAAGUGCAUCUGAUACUGUCAAGCUUGAGUCCUGGAGAGGGGUGUGGAAUUCCCGGUGUAGAGGUGAAAUUCGUAGAUAUCGGGAGGAACACCAGUGGCGAAGGCGACACCCUGGAUGGAGACUGACGCUGAGACACGAAAGCGUGGGGAGCAAACAGGAUUAGAAACCCCAGUAGUCC